rnacentral:rRNA from 1 species
GUCUUGAUGAAUUAAAUAUUAAGUCUAAUCUGCCCACUGAAGUUUUAAAUGGCUGCAGUAUUAAUAACUGUACAAAGGUAGCAUAAUAAUUUGUUUUUUAAUUAAAAACUAGAAUGAAAGAUUGAAUGAAAUAUAAACUGUUUCAAUUAAUUUUAUUGAAUUUUUUAUUUAAGUAAAAAAACUUAAAUAAAUUUUAAAGACGAUAAGACCCUAUAGAAUUUAAUUUUUAUUAUUUAAAAAAAAUUUUAAAAAUAAAAAUUUAGUUGGGGUAAUGAAAAAAUUUAAUUAAUUUUUUUUAAAAAAGAUAUUUAUAAAUAAAUUAUUUUACUUAAAUUAUGAAUUAAAAAAAUUAAUUACCUUAGGGAUAACAGCAUAAUUUUUUUUGAAAGAUCUUAUUAAUAGAAAAGAUUAU